AGUGAACGCUGGCGGUAGGCCUAACACAUGCAAGUCGAACGGCAGCACAGUAAGAGCUUGCUCUUACGGGUGGCGAGUGGCGGACGGGUGAGGAAUACAUCGGAAUCUACUUUUUCGUGGGGGAUAACGUAGGGAAACUUACGCUAAUACCGCUUACGACCUACGGGUGAAAGCAGGGGAUCUUCGGACUUUGCGCGAUUGAAUGAGCCGAUGUCGGAUUAGCUAGUUGGCGGGGUAAAGGCCCACCAAGGCGACGAUCCGUAGCUGGUCUGAGAGGAUGAUCAGCCACACUGGAACUGAGACACGGUCCAGACUCCUACGGGAGGCAGCAGUGGGGGAUAUUGGACAAUGGGCGCAAGCCUGACCCAGCCAUACCGCGUGGGUGAAGAAGGCCUUCGGGUUGUAAAGCCCUUUGUUGGGAAAGAAAAGCAGCAGGUUAAUACCCCGCUGUUCUGACGGUACCCAAAGAAUAAGCACCGGCUAACUUCGUG
rnacentral:rRNA from 1 species